GUCCCCGUAGCGCAGUUGAUUGCGCGCUGGACUUCUAAUCCAGAGGAUGCGGGUUGGAAUCCCGCCGGGGAUG